rnacentral:rRNA from 1 species
UACGUAGGGCGCAAGCGUUGUCCGGAAUUAUUGGGCGUAAAGAGCUCGUAGGCGGUUUGUCGCGUCUGUCGUGAAAGCUUGGGGCUUAACCCCAAGUCUGCGGUGGAUACGGGCAGACUAGAGGCAGGUAGGGGAGAACGGAAUUCCCGGUGUAGCGGUGAAAUGCGCAGAUAUCGGAAGGAACAUCAGUGGCGAAAGCGGCUUCCUGGACCAGUACCGACGUUCAGGCACGAAAGCGUGGGGAGCAAACAGG